rnacentral:rRNA from 1 species
UACAGAGGGGGCAAGCGUUGUUCGGAAUUACUGGGCGUAAAGGGCGCGUAGGCGGCCUUCUAAGUCGAACGUGAGAUCCCUGGGCUCAACCCAGGAACUGCGUCCGAUACUGGAAGGCUUGAAUCCGGGAGAGGGAUGCGGAAUUCCAGGUGUAGCGGUGAAAUGCGUAGAUAUCUGGAGGAACACCGGUGGCGAAGGCGGCAUCCUGGACCGGUAUUGACGCUGAGGCGCGAAAGCCAGGGGAGCAAACGGG